rnacentral:lncRNA from 1 species
CCAUUGCCAAUAUGAGAACAUCCAGUUCUGAAUGUAACGGUGAUAAGUUGUUUCUCAAUCCUAAAAGUGGUUUCUUUCUAGUUUCGUCUAGCCAUAUCCAACUAUAACCACUGUACUAUGACACCGCAGUCCAAGAACCAUCUACCAGAUCUUGGUACAUACAUGAUCUUGAAGUUUGGAUAGUCUCCUUUGAUAACUUCAAACUCUGCUAACUCGUUGGAAAAGCUUGACCAUGCUCUUGGAUCCUUUAUCAUUGAAAUUACAUCCUAAAUCAGUACCAAAUGACUGACAUGAGGUAUGCUGAACCAUAUUCUUCAUUGCCCAUAUGAGAGCAUCCAGUUCUGAAUGUAAUGGUGACAAGUUGUUUCUCAAUCCUAAGAGUUGUUCCUUUCUAAUUUAGUCUAGCCAUAUCCAACCAUAAACAUUGUACUAUGACACUGCAAUCCAAGAACCAUCUACCAGACAAAUAUUUUUUAAGCAUAAGGCUUGUGUACCCUGGUUCUGGUAUGGUGGAAUCACUUCAUUACUUGUUAUUAAGUU